AAACAUACCAACUGGUGUCAACAUCAGCUAGGCUAUGUUGGCAUUUUCUGAUGGUUCUUCAUGACUGAUCAUAAGUUUCUUAUGGAUCCCCAGUUGCUGCCUCCUUCUGAAGCACAGGUUAUUAGAGAGGCUGAAAACCAGACUGGAACAGGCUCUUCAAAGGCAGCCUCUGGACCUGGACUAUUUAGAGUUCCUCUGUACCAGUGAGUUGAGCCUAGUUCACUGAGUACUCACAUGUCAUUUCCAGAAGAGGUAAGCAAAGUCUGUUUGUUUUUUGUGCAAAAUAAGUACAAACAUUACCCCUGUUUUCAGAAUACUUUCAGAAGGUGCCAUUGAGUCCUGCUGUCCUGCUAAAAUAAACUUCACUGACAGUUUUUACAUAUGUUUCCCCUCACAAACUAUUAGAUACCAGAAUACAGUUGUUUUGUACUGUAAAAAUAGUAUUAAGUGUUGAUUUAUAUAUAUUUAAAACAAAAGAGGAGACGGCAGAGCCUCAUGCUUAUAAUCAUUAAUUAAUUAUAAAAUAAA